CCUACGGGAGGCUGCAGUGAGGAAUAUUGGUCAAUGGACGCAAGUCUGAACCAGCCAUGUCGCGUGAAGGAUGACUGCCCUAUGGGUUGUAAACUUCUUUUGUAUGGGAGUAAUAUCUUCCACGUGUAGGUUUUUGUAUGUACCAUAUGAAUAAGGAUCGGCUAACUCCGUGCCAGCAGCCGCGGUAAUACGGAGGAUCCGAGCGUUAUCCGGAUUUAUUGGGUUUAAAGGGUGCGUAGGUGGAUUGUUAAGUCAGUUGUGAAAGUUUGCGGCUCAACCGUAAAAUUGCAGUUGAUACUGGCAGUCUAGAGUACAGUAGAGGUAGGCGGAAUGUGUGGUGUAGCGGUGAAAUGCUUAGAGAUCACGAAGAACUCCGAUUGCGAAGGCAGUUCACUGGACUGUAACUGACACUGAGGCACGAAAGUGUGGGUAUCAAACAGGAUUAGAUACCCCUGUAGUC
rnacentral:rRNA from 1 species